AUUGAACGCUGGCGGCAGGCCUAACACAUGCAAGUCGAGCGGAUGAAGGGAGCUUGCUCCUGGAUUCAGCGGCGGACGGGUGAGUAAUGCCUAGGAAUCUGCCUGGUAGUGGGGUAUAACGUCCGGAAACGGGCGCUAAUACCGCCUACGUCCUGCGGGAGCAAGUGGGGGGUCUUCGGACCUCACGCUCUCAGAUGAGCCUAGGUCGGAUUAGCUAGUUGGUGGGGUAAAGGCCUACCAAGGCGACGAUUCGUAGCUGGUCUGUGAGGAUGAUCAGUCACAUGGGAAGUGAGACACGGUCCUGAGUACUACGGGAGGCAGCAGUGGGGAAUAUGGGACAAUGGGCGAAAGCCUGAUACAGCGGGGCCGCGUGUGUGAAGAAAGUCUUCGGAUUGGAAAGCACUUUAAGGUGGGAGGAAGGGCAGUAAGUUAAGACCUUGCGGUUUUGACGGUACCAACAGAAUAAGCACCGGCUAACUUCGUG
rnacentral:rRNA from 1 species